UGGGGAGCGUGGGGUAAACGGUGGAGUGGGACCCCUGACUCAUCUGGAGGAGAAGUGGAUCUUUUAGGGGUCUUAGAGCUGCUGCGUGUUGUCAAGGCAGCGAAGCGUUAGUGUCCGUACAGGCCCAUCCAUGCCAGCUGGUUACGAUCGGAGGAGAAUCCCAGGAGGAUGAGACCGAAAAGGCGUUGACCGGCGACACGCGCCGGAGCAGGCAGCCCUCACAUAAAGCAGCACAGCGUGCGGCGCCGAAACCUGGUCGGCCUAUGUGGGAUUGCCGGGGCCUCUUUGAAGUACCGAGCCGCGGCUGUUUCCUUUAGCUGCACUGCGUCGGGAGAGCCCCCUUGAAUGGAAACUGUGAGACUGCAGUUGAAGGUGAAGCACCCGAGUUCAGAGAGCGAGAGGAUCAGCCGGCGCGUGACUGACACAGAGCAGUGCACUCUGGGAGCUCAGGGUUUUGUCCCUGUGUAGACGCCGCGGCAGACUUACAUUUGUGGGAAUGUUUAAUGCUUUAAUGUAAGGUUCACAUGAGCGUGGCCUACAUAGUUUCUGUGUCUGGGAACUCAA
ensembl:lncRNA